UUUUGCUCUUCAUUUUGUUUUUUGCCCGUUCAAAUAAACUUUUUUUCCUUUUCUGGGUCUCUCUCGUUGUCUCAAUAUUCCAUUUCUUUUUUCAUGAGCCUGCUUGAAAAGGUAAAAGCUUUAUCGGUAUUAUUAAUAUUUCCUUCUAUUUUGUAGUUGCUUCUUAUUUAGAUUUCUAAGCUUUUAAGAGUGGCAUAAAAGGGUCUUUCAUCGCCAUUUUCAAAUGUAUUAUUUUUCUCUUUUUUUGUGAUAAUUUUUGUUUGAGAGUCUUCUCUAAUCAAAUACUUAAAUACCCAUUUGAGGCUAAUUCAAUUUCAAGCUGCUAGGCUUCAGAACUUGACCAUUUCACAUGUUUCCUAGUCUGUGGCCUUUUCUUAUUUGA
rnacentral:misc_RNA from 1 species